rnacentral:rRNA from 1 species
UACGUAGGGGGCGAGCGUUAUCCGGAUUUACUGGGCGUAAAGAGCGCGUAGGCGGUUCCGUAAGUUGGUUGUGAAAGUUCGAGGCUCGACCUCGAUAUUGCGUCCAAAACUGCGGGGCUUGAGUGCAAGAGAGGCAAGUGGAAUUUGCAGUGUAGUAGUGAAAUGCGUAGAUAUUGCAAGGAACACCAGUGGCGAAGGCGGCUUGCUAGCUUGUAACUGACGCUGAGGCGCGAAAGCUAGGGGAGCGAACGG